CCUACGGGUGGCAGCAGUGAGGAAUAUUGGUCAAUGGCCGUAAGGCUGAACCAGCCAAGUCGCGUGAAGGAAGAAGGAUCUAUGGUUUGUAAACUUCUUUUAUAGGGGAAUAAAGGCAUCUACGUGUGGAUAUUUGCAUGUAACCUAUGAAUAAGCAUCGGCUAACACCGUGCCAGCAGCCGCGGUAAUACGGAGGAUAAGAGGGUUAUCCGGAUUUAUUGGGUUUAAAGGGUGCGUAGGCUGUGAAGGAAGUUAGCGGUGAAAUGCCCCCGCUCAACGGGGUGAAGUGCCAUUGAUACUGGCUUGCUUGAAUGCGCAUGCCGUGGGCGGAAUGUGUGGUGUAGCGGUGAAAUGCAUAGAUAUCACACAGAACACCGAUUGCGAAGGCAUCUCACGAAUCCGCGAUUGACGCUGAUGCACGAAAGCGUGGGUAUCAAACAGGAUUAGAUACCCCAGUAGUC
rnacentral:rRNA from 1 species